rnacentral:rRNA from 1 species
GACGAACGCUGGCGGCGUGCUUAACACAUGCAAGUCGAACGGAAAGGCCUCGUUCUUGGGGUACUCUCGUGUGGAGCGGGUGAGUGACACAUGAGUGACCUGCCCUCGUCUUUGAGAUAAAUUAAUGAGACUGGGGGUAAUACAGAAUAGGAGCUCCUGCUACACGUUGGGGGUUGUAGAGAUUCGGCGGUUGGGGAUGGACUCUCGGCUUAUCAGCUCUUGGGUGGGGUAGUGGCUUACCAAGGCUUUGACGGGGAGCCGGCCUGAGAGGGUGACCGGCCACAUUGGGACUGAGAUACGGCCCAGACUCCUACGGGAGGCAGCAGUGGGGAAUAUUGCACAAUGGGGGGAAGCCUGAUGCAGCAACGCCGGGUGCGGGAUGACGGCCUUCGGGUUGUAAACCGCUUUCGCACAUGACGAAGCUUUCUGGGCGGGAAGUGGGUAAAGAGCCACGGCUUAAUACGUG